rnacentral:lncRNA from 1 species
UUAAGUAGUUUUUGUGAAAACUAGAAAAAAUUUUAAGAUAAACUUCAAUUUUCCCGGCUGUGGUUUUGUAAUUUUUACUUUGUCACCUUAUGCGUUAACUAAUAUUCACUUUUCUAUCAUAUAGUUCAAAAAUUUAUACUUAACUAUUCUGUGAUUAUUAAAAAAUCUCCUUUCCUACCUUAUUUGAUAAUAAAUAUUUUUGGU